GAAGCUGAUGCAAGUGGCCUCCCUGUGAACAGUCUUGCAGCCUUGCAGAAAGUCUGGGGAACCAGACAGAGGUUGAGAAGGCACCAGAGAGAGUUGACAUCCCAACUUCCUCCCAUGGCCUGGCUGGACAAAAACGCAAGAGAUCUGAGGAGAGGAAGGGAAAAGCAAAGAAACUGCCUUGCAAGAAAAGACUUAAAGGUGGACAUGAGGUAUCUGUGAGGCCUAUGGACUGGAAAACCACCUUCCCCAGGAUACAGAGAUGGAAGCAAAAGGCAGCAGAGAUGCAUCUGUCUGUUGCUGAGGACGUGGAUGAGCCCCCAGCCAGAAAACCACCUAUGUCUGGAACUGCUUCCAGGAAGCCAAGAAGACUCUGAGGCACAGUCUGAGGACUUAAAACUCAACAUCCCAUUCCUCACGAGAAGCAGGUGAGGCACAGCAGCUGAGCUGCACAGAGCUGAGGGAAGCACUUGUCACUGAAGAUGAUGACAUUGAGAUGUUACUGAUGGAAAUUGCAGGAGAAGAACUGGAAGAAGAAAUGGAUGUAGACUGAGAAGGAUGCAGAUGAGCUCCUUCUGGAACUGGGAUAAUUAGCAGUGUAAUACCAUAGUCUGAUUUAUGAUGUAUAUUUUAAAACAAACAAUGACAAAAAACAAUUAUAACCAACCCUUAAUUUUCUCUUGUUGGUUUUUAGAUACAGACCUCAGUGAGAGGAGAGCAAUGUUGCAUGCCCAGUUACUGCUGUGACCUCCAUAGCCACCUUCCCUGCUUUGUUUCCCAAAAGCUGUUGCUAGAAUAUGACAGAUGCAAAUGGAUCCUGCAUUUCCCUGCAGCACAUGCAGGGUUGUGCUUUCACAUGUUUGACAACUAUUGACAUCCACUGGGGAAAAUAUUCUGUAGGUUGCUUUUCAUUCCCUGACAAACGGCUCUAAGACUUUAUCAGUCGAAGACAGAAAGGAGUCCCUAAACUGGAGGUCAUUUAAAGGAGCUCUCAGUGUGUGUUACCAAAGACAUGCUUGGCCAAGCACAGGGGAACCCAGACACAGGAGCGAACAGGAGGAGCACAGUGUGUCAGGGGAUGGAUUUUGAAACGGACUUGCUAUAAAUGUUAAUUAUGGACCUUAUCAAAGGAAGGACCGGGAAGGACCAAGCCCAGUGUCUGCAAUCAAAAGGCUCCUGUCGAGCAACAGCAUACAAGUACUAUAAGAGAAUGCACCCUUUGUUACUAGGCAGGUUUCUAGGCAGGCUUCCAUCUAACUUUCAUAUUUUCUAGUGACAGAAAUAGCUCUGAUCUUUUGGGGUUGAGUUUUAGUCGGGGAAUACGGCAUCCAUUCCUCCUCCAAUCUCUGCCUGUGUUUGUUCUCAUUUGUUUCUCUCCUGUUCUAGCUGAGCUUUCAUUCUGCAGAAGGCUCCUUGCUCUGCUGAGGUCUCUGCUGUGCCUGCUGCCACUAGCCACAGUAAUAGAGCAGAGCAAACUGCAUCAGCACACAGGAUAGGAUGCAGUAGCAGGAUGAAGUUCCAGGGGAGCAUAAGCUGCAAGCCCACGUGUGGAUGGCCAAAUGCUUGUGCAUUGGCAUUCCCAUGGGAUAAAGCAGGUGAAGUUCCAUCUGCACCAGCCUCUUUUCUUGCCUCUCCUUCACACAGAUGGCUUUCACAAUGGAUCAGUGUUGAAACAGUUUAAGGGCCUGGCAAGAUGUCAGAGACCGACUGUGAGGUAUUCCUAUUAACAAGGAAACCUCAAUGGGAUUCUUUCCAGCAGUUUUCUUCAGUGCUUUUAGUCGUUACAAAAGGAAUAACUGUUGCUCUGAGGGCAGUUUGGAAAAAACAGAGUCUGGAUAGCAUCUAUCUGGAUGUGCCCAAGUCUUGUGGCUCCUGCAAUUACCAUGCAGACCUCAGAAUGAGUGGGACUGAGCAUCUCUGCUCAUCUUGGGCUCAGAGGUGGAAAUCCAGGUGUGCUCCUGCUCUGCUAUGAUGUCCCAUGGAUACCCCAAGUUUGACCUCAGGAGCAAGCUAAGCAAAACGUCUGGGCUAUGUGAUGCAGGGCUGUUUCUCUUGUCCUGUCAAAUCCUGCCUGGAGACCAGAUGUGGAAGGAAGGGGACUCUGCACAGGGCAAUAUGCAAAGAGCUGCUCCCUUCCAUCACCCAGAGGUAGUGAAGGGUAGAGUUGCAUCUUGCCUAAAUACCAGCAGUUGAGAAGCUUCCUUUCUCUCCCAAUCUGUCCAUAGACCAGUUGGUUCUUUUUCUAGUGUCUUCCUUCCUUGAUACAUCCCCCAGAUAACACUGGGUUGGUACCCACAUAGCAUUGGAAGCAGCUGAUAAGGAUUGAAUAAUUUUGCACUUGGAUGUGUAAGGCAGCACUCACUGUGUUGUGGCUGGUUGGAUUCACUCAUCUUUUUAUAGGGCUGAUUGCUGCAAACUUGAUUUUCCCUCUGAGCUUCCUCUGUUCACAAGAAAUUCCCAUCUUGAAUAAACACUCCUGCAAGAGGUUGGGGUUUCUGGGUUGUUCAGAUGAAAUGAAACAUAACUAAACAUAGGGGUUUGAGCUCGUUCCCUUUUCUGAUAAAAGGAAAUAAAAAUAAAUAAAAAAUAGAAGCAGGCUUGGAGAGCAGCAUCUUGGUUGGGGUUCUACCCAGCUGUAGUGCACGUCUUGGAUUUACAUUUUAAUCAUUCUCAUGGGGGGCAUCCUUAAAUGUCAAUCAGCAACUUUACCAGAUGAGUGCACAGUGCUGAGAGCCAUCCAGGGUGCUCCAUUGAAUAGCAGGAGCCGUGCCCACUUCUUGGAGGAGUUCCCUUGCUGCCUGUGCAAAAAUAACCUUCUACUUCUCCUCGUAACCACAUCCCUUCCAGUGGUUGGGAGUGCUGUAGCAAAAGUUUCUCCCACGCUCUCUCACCACUUCAGCUUUGCAGCAGCUGAGGCAUAACAGUUAAUGAAACGAUUGAAAUUAGCUCAGGCACAGCAGUGAAGGGAGUGGUGAGGAGAUGCAUGCAGGCCCUGGUACCCAGCGUUUGGGUACCAAGCUUCAGUCUAUGCCCUGCUAUACAGCUUCAUGGAAUCCUUAAAAUAAAUUACUAAACAAAUAACGUGUUGCUCUGCGGAUUCUAUUUAUCUUUAUUCAUC